rnacentral:rRNA from 1 species
GUGGGGAAUUUUGCGCAAUGGCCGCAAGGCUGACGCAGCAACGCCGCGUGGGUGAUGAAGGCCUUCGGGUCGUAAAGCCCUGUCAGGUGGGAAGAAAGGCCUGGAGAGGAAAGGUUUCAGGUUUGACGGUACCACCAGAGGAAGCACCGGCUAACUCCGUGCCAGCAGCCGCGGUAAUACGGAGGGUGCGAGCGUUAUUCGGAAUUACUGGGCGUAAAGCGCGUGUAGGCGGGGGGACAAGUCUGAUGUGAAAGCCCUGGGCUUAACCUGGGAAGCGCAUUGGAAACUGUUUUUCUUGAGUACUGGAGAGGAAGGGGGAAUUCCCGGUGUAGAGGUGAAAUUCGUAGAGAUCGGGAGGAAUACCAGUGGCGUAGGCGCCCUUCUGGACGGUAACUGACGCUGAGACGCGAAAGCGUGGGGAGCAAACAGGAUUAGAAACCCGGGUAGUCC